rnacentral:lncRNA from 1 species
UGCAGCUGCUAGGGAGUGAGGAGUGAGGAUGCCCCUCCCCUCCCCUUCCCGCCGCGUCCCUCCUCCUCUCCCCCGCUUUUUUCCCCUCUUUCCCUCCCCUCAAGGAAUGGCGCUCCCUCUACCUGUUCCUCAGGCCCCCUCCUCCCUUCUCUUUCGUCCACUGGGAGGGGAAACUGGGGUGUGGUGGUAACGGGAACUGAAGGGAUGAUGGGGUCUGAGGGUACACAUGGGCCGAGGAGUCGAGUUUGAGGGGUGUGGAUGGGGGCCGACAGGGAGAGCAGAGGAGACUGAACAGGGAGAGAGGAUUCCGAGCUGAGGAACGAAGGGGAAACUGAGAGGGCAAAAGGAUGACAGAAAGAAAGGAAGGUUGAGGAGAGAAGGAAGGCAGGGGAAGAGAGAGAGGGUUAAGGAGCUAAAUGGGGGGUUGGGUAAUUUGUCCAAGAUCCGAGAAGAAAGAAGGAGAGAUGAAGAGAAAGGACACAUUUGAGGGGCCACACGGGCUGAAGCAGGGAAAUCGGGCAUCGAGAGAGGGACUUUUCAAAUCUCACUAUCCAGACUGAAUAAGAGACGGAAAUUUCCUUUUCACACAAUGGCUCUGAAAAGGAAAAGCAUUAGAGAAGCAAAGACAGAGAAAGGCGCAAUAGGGAGGUGAGAGAGAGGGAGAAGCAGGAAAGGACAACUGGAAGGUAAUAGCAAAGAAAAGAGAGAGGGAGAGCGACAGAGAACUAAUGGGAAAGACCAGGAGGAAGGUCCAUUUUAUGAGCGGCAGAGGUGACUGAGGAGACCCUUCAAACUGCAGUGGAGAAGAGGCUCCCCACACUCCCCCCUCCUUAAAAAUCCUGCAGAGGAAGGGGGAAAGAAAACCAAAGCAUUCUGUCGCCGCGGCAACCAUAAAACCCCCAGCUAAAUCCAUCUUGUGAGCUCACCGCCCCAUUAAGAUGCAGGGCCAGGCGCUGCGCCAGCCCAGCCACAUUCAUUUGUGCGAAUAAAGGUGGAGGAGGGGGAGGGGAGCAGGCUCUGGAGGGACGGGGAAAUGGCGAGAAGAGGUUAUUUACACCACCGUCCUGACCUUCUGGAGCAGCGCUGGCUCCGAUAAAUAACCCGCUCAGCGCCGUUUCAGAGCAGGAGUGGGAGGUGCAGGAAGUGAGCAAGGGCUGGAGAAGAGCCCCCACGCAGGUGCGCGUCUCUGGGUUACUAAUGGCUGAGGCGGGAGCAGGCAGCUGGCUUUGGGGGUGAUGGGGGAAGAACUCAGUUCCCUGGGACUCCCACUGAGAAAAUACCAUCCCCACCCCACCCCUGGCGCCAAUUUCCAGGCGAGGGGACGGAGAGAUGCCAAGGAGGCAAACAGCCCCGUAAAUUAGGGAUGGGGGGGCACUGCUAGGAGUCUCUGAGGUAGGAGGGAAGAAAUAUUAUAAGAUGGGGAAUGACGGGGGGCUGGAGGAACAGGAGUAGCUGCCAAAAAGAGAGGAAGAGAAACAGAAACAUCACACAAAGGCAGUUUGGAAAAAAUGUUUUAUUCCUCUUUGCACAGAGCAGUUU